CCUACGGGAGGCAGCAGUGGGGGAUAUUGCACAAUGGGGGAAACCCUGAUGCAGCGACGCCGCGUGUGUGAAGACGGUCCUCUGGAUUGUAAACCACUGUCCCCAGGGACGAAGAUGACGGUACCUGGGGAGGAAGCUCCGGCUAACUACGUGCCAGCAGCCGCGGUAAUACGUAGGGAGUGAGCGUUGUCCGGAAUUACUGGGCGUAAAGGGAGCGUAGGCGGGACUGCAAGUUGGGUGUAAAGUCUAGCGGCUCAACCAGUAGCCGCACUCAAAACUGCAGUUCUUGAGUGAAGUAGAGGCAGGUGGAAUUCCUAGUGUAGCGGUGAAAUGCGUAGAUAUUAGGAGGAACACCAGUGGCGAAGGCGGCCUGCUGGGCUUUUACUGACGCUGAGGCUCGAAAGUGUGGGGAGCAAACAGGAUUAGAUACCCUUGUAGUC
rnacentral:rRNA from 1 species